rfam:Gossypium raimondii Chr05_contig_149, whole genome shotgun sequence.
UAUUAAAAAUUUUAUCAAUUUGUAUUAUUAAAAAUUAACAUGAUUGAUGAAAUAUCAAGUGAAGUGAUGACACGAGGUGCGCCAUAUAUAUAUUAUGGUGAUGUAUAAAAAUUAGUUUUUUAUAAUAGAAAUAGAAGAAAUUUUUAACA